rnacentral:rRNA from 1 species
GAGUAAUGUCUGGGAAACUGCCUGAUGGAGGGGGAUAACUACUGGAAACGGUGGCUAAUACCGCAUAACGUCGCAAGACCAAAGAGGGGGACCUUCGGGCCUCUUGCCAUCAGAUGUGCCCAGAUGGGAUUAGCUUGUUGGUGAGGUAACGGCUCACCAAGGCGACGAUCCCUAGCUGGUCUGAGAGGAUGACCAGCCACACUGGAACUGAGACACGGUCCAGACUCCUACGGGAGGCAGCAGUGGGGAAUAUUGCACAAUGGGCGCAAGCCUGAUGCAGCCAUGCCG